rnacentral:lncRNA from 1 species
UAAAAUUCACAAUUUUGUGCAAAAGUAAAGCGGAGGACUUCCCUCUCUUUCUUUUGGUUUUUAGUCGAACACUUCCCCCUUUUUUGUUCCAAACCCUUCCCAAAUAUUUUUUUUGAUAAGGUAAACCCUUCCCAAAGUUUACCAGACGCUUCAACUAGAGUUCCGAAGUUUGAGAUCUGAAUGAUCCUCCGGCCUUCCCUCAACCCAAAAUUAGGGCUUGAAAUGGUAAGCUUAUUCUCCUCUUGUUUCAAGGUUAGGGUUUAAUUUGAUUUUCAUGUAAAAAUUUGUUAGAUUUGCUAAAUUUUGGGUACAAAUAGAUUCUUAUGCUUUCGCAACUCGAAUGCUUUGUUACUGGCGGAAUAACUUCAUGACUUAUUGUUAAAUCCGAGAAUUUUUCAGUUGAAAUAGAAAAUAUAAUUACCAGAAUAUAUUAUUUGCUAUUUGUGUAUCAGCUUAAAAGGUACUGAAAUAAUUAUAGGCUGGGGCUCAAUUUAUGUGGAGGAUUUCGAGAAAAUGUAUCUGCACUUCCCAUAUACAUUGUCUCAUUAUUUGGUUUUCUAACUACUUAGGUUUAUUGAAAUGCUUUUUGAUUUGGAGUUUGUCUAUUAGAUCAUAUUAUGUUUUCUUUUCAUUGUAAUUAUUUAUCUAGGGACAGGUAUGCAUCUAACUUAUAGGUGUUGUAUGUUUUACUAAAUCUCAGCUUAACAGAACUUUGUUGUUAUAGCACUAGAAUGAAACGCCUUUCAUUCCUUGUUUAUGUGAUUUACUUUGCAUUGUCGAAGCCUUAUUUUUACUUAUUCGUUAAACUUUUUCUUUUUCAUUGAACAUAUUAGCAAUUUGUUAAAUUUUAUGUGCAGGGAUGAGGGCCUAAUAUUGAGGUUAGACUCUUAAUGUCACUUUAAUUGAAUGACCUUAUAUCUUUAGAGUUUUUGUGCGUUUGUCCAUAAGCUCGUUGCAUAUAAAUAUCUUUUUCAGUAAUCCUGUACGACUUGGGAUAUGGUUGAGACAGUAAUAAUUGUAUAUAACAUGAACACUUUUGCUUCUCUUUUGGAUUGGCAACUUAAUAUCAAUUAUGUCAUAUACAAUUUCGUUCUUUUUUAGGGGGUGAGCAGAGUGGGGUGAAGAAUAGUUAAGCUGAACUAACAUGUUGUGGUAGAGAGGCUAAAGUUUAAUUUUUUCAACAAACACGUCAAAUAAGUACCAUGGCUAUUCUAAAAACUAGAAUGCAUGUGCUGCAACUAAAAUUUUUAUAUGCACCCAUUUGGGAUCCUGGACUUCACUGUGUUAGUUUUAGAGGCUAUUUCUUUUUGGUAUUCACUCGGUAGAAAAAGAUGGUUGGGGAACACCUUUUGACUGUGCACCUAUCUCCUUUUUUUCUUAUAUAAUGGAAGUUGGAUGCAUACUAAAAUGAUGGGACAUGCUGAGGCUCAGAAUAAGUUCUAGUCUAUUCUUAGUGAGGAGUUAAACUGGUAGAAUUAACUAUUAGACAAAUGAGCUAAUCUGACCUUUCUACAUUUAAAUUUUUUACUUGAAUAAGUGGACUUGAUAUGUCCUAACUGGCUAUUGAUACAUUUUUCUAAUGAAGAGAUAAUUUUCUUUACUAUCAUUGCCUUCUGUCUGCAUAAUCAUUUCUUUUAUAAGUUUUUUGAGAUUGUCAACCAAUCUUGAACCCUUGACCUAGUAGUUUGGAGAGAACUUCCAACCACUAUGAACAAGGAUGGCCGGUGUAUUUUCUUCGAAUUUGAAUUUGUUAAUGGUGAACUCUUCAUUACUCCAUAGAGGGACAUGCAAGGGUAUCAACAUUCUGUAUUAGUGCUACCACUUGAAUUUUUUUUCCUUACUCUAACAUGCAUCUUUUUCAGUAAAUCUAUUGUUGCACCCUAGUGUGACUGUUAGAUUGUUAACUCUUUUCUUUUGUAUUUUAUAUUCCCUUGGUGUUGUUAUCGUUAUCCUGCUUUUGCGUAGUUCCUUAAAUUGCUGAACAAAGCAACAUCUACAAUUCAAUUGGAUGCAGCAUUACGCUAAUGAGGAGUUCUUUUCUCUAACUUCAAUCAAGGUAUGUUCCCACUUCACAAUGCUUAGGUAUUUAGAUAGAGAAUAUUUUUCUUGAAUUUGGUUCCUCUAGGAAGUUCAAUCGUUGCUCCAGGGUAUUUCUCAAUUUAUCUGUGUAAAAGAUCAUAUAAGUUAUAUGUCAUGGUUACUAAAUUUAUGGUCUGAUUAGUUCCCGAAAAUUUUCUAUCUAGUAUUUCAUGUCACAAAUUCUGAUACUAUUGGAAAUGUAAUGAGUUAUUUUGAAAAAUAUGAUAAGUUUAAAAUAGAGCAAAUUUUAUAUGGUUUCAAUAUAAUGAAUGCUUGAUUGUUACACAAUUAAGAACUUGUGUCUCUGUAUUAUGUGAUUGAUAAAGAGGAUGUUUUUGGAUUAUUGAUACGCCAAUCCUCUCUUUGUUGAUGUUUAAGCAUUAUCACCAUUGUAAAAUUUUGGCAUAUCUCAAUUUUAACUAUGUAAGAGCUGCAUCUUAUCUUUAAAAUAAUUAGAUGUUCUUGUUGUCAGCAAGCUUAGAUUAGUAACACCACUAUAUAAGCAUUAAGUAAACUCAUUAAGUAGCCUUGUUAGAAUUAUCUCAUACUAAUGCUAAUCUUUGAUGGUUACAGGAAAUUAUAUUUGUCAAGUCUUAAGGUCUUGUUGAAUUUCUUACCAACAUCUGAUUGCCAUUGUAUGUGCUAUCUUUUACUUCUGCAUUUGAUUGUUUUGAUAAAUUAUAAUUGGAUUAUUAUUAGAAUUUUCUAAUUUCUUUCUCUCUUUUGAUCCUUUGCUAUUUUUUUUAAUAUAUGAAGGAUACAGUUUUCCAACAACAGAAAA